GACGAACGCUGGCGGCGUGCUUUAACACAUGCAAGUCGAACGAAGAGCGAUGAAGCUUGCUUCUAUCAAUCUUAGUGGCGAACGGGUGAGUAACGCGUAAUCAACCUGCCCUUCAGAGGGGGACAACAGUUGGAAACGACUGCUAAUACCGCAUACGAUCUAAUCUCGGCAUCGAGGAUAGAUGAAAGGUGACCUCUACAUGUAAGCUAUCACUGAAGGAGGGGAUUGCGUCUGAUUAGCUAGUUGGAGGGGUAACGGCCCACCAAGGCGAUGAUCAGUAGCCGGUCUGAGAGGAUGAACGGCCACAUUGGGACUGAGACACGGCCCAGACUCCUACGGGAGGCAGCAGUGGGGAAUCUUCCGCAAUGGACGAAAGUCUGACGGAGCAACGCCGCGUGAGUGAUGACGGCCUUCGGGUUGUAAAGCUCUGUUAAUCGGGACGAAAGGCCUUCUUGCGAAUAGUUAGAAGGAUUGACGGUACCGGAAUAGAAAGCCACGGCUAAUAC
rnacentral:rRNA from 1 species